GAGUUUGAUCUUGGCUCAGAUUGAACGCUGGCGGCAGGCCUAACACAUGCAAGUCGAACGGCAGCACGGGAGCUUGCUCCUGGUGGCGAGUGGCGAACGGGUGAGUAAUGCAUCGGAACGUAUCCUGGAGUGGGGGAUAACGUAGCGAAAGUUACGCUAAUACCGCAUAUUCUGUGAGCAGGAAAGCGGGGGACCUUCGGGCCUCGCGCUCUUGGAGCGGCCGAUGUCGGAUUAGCUAGUUGGUGAGGUAAAGGCUCACCAAGGCGACGAUCCGUAGCAGGUCUGAGAGGAUGAUCUGCCACACUGGAACUGAGACACGGUCCAGACUCCUACGGGAGGCAGCAGUGGGGAAUUUUGGACAAUGGGGGCAACCCUGAUCCAGCCAUGCCGCGUGAGUGAAGAAGGCC
rnacentral:rRNA from 1 species